rnacentral:lncRNA from 1 species
UGAAAAAAUUAAUUAUGGACAUCAUUUUUUUUACUUACAUUAAAGUUGGAUUAGAGCCAUUCAAAAAAGAAUGAAGUUGGAUUAUAAAUUAAAUUCUUAAUUAAAAGCUAACUAUACUAUUUUUAGUGUUUUCAAUUUUUAUUUCAGAGAGCUCUAUAGCCAUCUUGUGUACGUUUUGAUCUCAUAACCUUAGAUUUCAAUUUCAAAAAAUUAAUCAAUCCUAAAACUAUAUCACACACUGAAAAUAAAAUAAUAAUGAUAAUAAUAUAUUAAUAACCAAAGUCGAUGGACGUAACAAGGAUAUCAAAAUCAAAUCCUUAUUUCUCACUAACACCUACAAAAUAACGAUUCAAUAUUUAAAUAGCAUAAAAUAUCUCUAUUGGUAUUCACAUAUCAACUCAUAAUAAUCACCACUCCAUAACGUAGUAUAAAAGCAGAAACAAUGAAUGUAUGUGCUGAACGAAUCAAUAAUAUGUUCACGCGAAAUCCACAAGAAAAUGAAAAUUCGGAAUCAUUAGAUUCAGUGCUUGAAGAUGGCGAACAUUGACAACACGACCGAAGCUCCAAUCACGGCCAUCGAACUCGAAACGGAUCCGGCAACUCCGACAUCGGGUCCCUGCGCAGGCGCCGGAGACAAAUCUUGAGCGGUGGCGGCGGCGAAGAAAAGCGCCACAAUAAGAGCAAUGACAAAGGACUUGAAAGAGGUUGCUUGAGAUGCCAUUGUGAAUAAAAAAGAUGAUAAUAUAGUGAAUAUGUAAAGAGGAAGAGAAAACAAUGAAGAAAGUUUUUGAAGAUGUUAGGGUUUUUUCUUAAUGUGUAAGAGUCAAGGGAGAAAAGGGUAUUUAUAGAGAUUGUGAGAAUGUGUGUGGGGCCCACGGAAACGUGGGCAGCUGGAAGGCGAGGAGCAUGUGUGGGUGUAUUGAGGUGUGAAUGAAUGGUGGUGAGUUGGUGGAGAUUCGAUGUUAGGGUUUCACAAUGCUUUACGAUUUUUCAAAUGAUUGGUGGUGCAUGUAGUAAAGAAAGAGAUCUAGUUUUAAACAGAAGACAUUGGUUUCAAGUUUCAAUUCAAUUUGGUAUCAAAGUUAACAGCUAACGUUUCUAUAAUUAAUUAGGUGUUUGGUGAGCGAAGAUUUUAGUGUCCAGAUGGUAAUGUGAAUAAUAAAAUAUAAAGCACAAAUAAUAUAUUUGUAAACUAUAAACAAUUAAAUUAAUUAUGUAUGUUUAGUUUAGUUGGUUAAGCAAUAUAAUUGAAUGUUUGUAAUUUUUUAAGUAUAGGGUUUCUUCUCCUGCUUUUGCAUAAAAGAAAUCGAAUACAAAAAUAAGAAGAAAAAAAUUUAAAAUUUUAAGAAUACAAGAUAGAAGACAGAGAGAAAAAAACAAAGACCCAUAACUACCAUAGUGAACUUUUAAUUAAUAGGAUAAAAAUGAAAUAGAAAAAUAAGUGAAUUUAUGAUUAUAAUUUUUCUAAAUCGACUCGUAACAGUAAAAAAAAAAAAAACUUUAGUAUUUUUAGUGUCUUCAUUUCUAGGAGAUUUAUAGCCAUUUUGUGUGAUUUAAUUUCUAUCUCAACAAAUUGGUAGCGGUUGCUUGAGCUAACCUUCCUAAUCAAUUGAAUUAUUAACAUGAAAUUGAAUUUACAAAUAACGUCCAAAAUUUAAUACUAAUAUUUCAAUAGAGGAAUAAUUGCAGCUUGAAACCAUUUUAUCAUUAGAAAAAGUAAUGUUUGCACUGACCGUAUAAAUGACUUUUACUCUAUCAUUUAAUUAUAAUUAGUCAUAUAUGAUUUUUUUUAUUUAUAAAAACUACCUUAAAAAAUAUCUCAACUAUGAUGUUUUUUUAUAUGGAACUAUGAUUGUUAAUUGAUUCAAAAUAUAAAACUUUUUAUUCUAAGAAUGCAUAACAUUAAACUCUUUUCACAAUUUUAAUAAAACAUUGUUUACCUCAAUUUAAUUUCUUCGUUCAACUUGUAAACAUUAGACAUUUCUUGAAGCUCGAUCUUUCUCCUGAUGGCUAAGAGAUAGCAUGAACAAUAGAAGAACUUGUUUCAUCCAUCAAUAAAUAUUUCAUAGUACAUUUUACAUCUUUUCUUUUAUAUAUUUCUAGAUAGUAGAUAAAAACAAAAAUAGGAAACUUCUAGAGCUUCAAAAAUAGUUAUUAAAUUGUUAGGACCAUAUAAAAACAUUUUUCUUAAAAUUGUUGUUAAUAUAUAUAUAUAUAUAACGAAUAAUAAAUAUUUUUUUAUAAUCAUUUAUGUAAAUUCAAUAUAUUCUACACAUACAGAGGAACACAUAAAGUUGUACAUGGUAAAAAAAAAAUUGUUGAAAUAGUUUGUUUGCAAAUUUCCUAAAACUAUUCAUAGCUUCUUCUCUCCAUUGAAAUUAUAGCUCAUUAUCGAACUUCUUGAAGAGAUAAAAGAGAACCAUGAUAUAUCUUUUUUAUUAGAGGUUGAAUCAAUCAUCAAAGGCUUUUCAAGUUCUUUGUAAUUAUUGCCUCUAAUUCUAUCUAUCUAAAAGAAACAAAUACUUAAUUUGUCAAUAUCAAUAAAAGUAAUUUACUUAAUUAAUUUAAAAUAAUAAUAUCAUCAAUUUAAAUUUUAUUAAAAAAAAUAUUCAUAACAUUAAAUUAUUUAAGUGCAGAAUAAUAUUAUGCCAAUUAAUCUAUAUAUUCAUUGGUAAGUGGUGGUCGGGGUUUGAAUGAUGGGUCCCUUUCUUUCUUUCUCUUAUUCUCCCGAUCAUUGGCGGAUGCACCUUAUAAUUGCCCCACAAGAUUUUUUUUGUUUGAUAAUGUAUAUAAAAAAUAUUUGCCCUCAUAAAUUAUAUAUUGUCUUCAUUGGAUUUUUUUAAUCCAAAAUCCAAACAAACAUAAUACAUUCAAUAUAAAAAUUACAUGCUUAAGCCCAAACCAUUAAGCCCAAUUUUCAUUAUUGUUGCAGUAACAAAAAAAAUACAUCACACAUUACAUAAAACACAUCGUUUUUCAUGUAACAUCCCAAAAAUAAUCUAAUAGUUAUUUAGAUAAAGAUUAUCUAAAUAUAUAUUUUAGUAAAGGAAAAAAUAGAUUAAAUUAUUUGAAUAUAUUAAAUUGUUAUAUUUUUUGAAAAUAUAUUAGUAUAGUAAUAUAUUAGAUUGGAUAAAGAUUAUAAAAAUAAGAGAUAAAGAAAUAUUGGUUAAACAAGUCUAAAAAGAUAAUUUCAAAUUACGUACAAUGCUUAUAUAAGGAUAGACGGUUCUUUUUCCUAGGCUUACAUGAAUAAUUAGUCUCUUUUGACAUUAGUGGGUUGCUCAAAGAUUGAGGAGAAGAAAGAAAGCGGAGAAAUUCUAUUGAAACAAAAAUAAUGAAGAACUUGAAUUACUUGUUUCAAGAUUAUACCUUUUCAAAACUUGCAUGGUAUAAUUCUUUUAGGAGCAUUUUUCUUUUAUUGUGUUCUUGAUAUAAAGAAUUUAUACUUAAUGAUGUUUUAAUGUUGAUUAUUUCAAUGAAGGGCAUUACAUUUUACACACUAAAUUAGUAACUUAUCACUCACGUUUGAUUGCAAUGUGAAUCGUCUCUUACUCCUUCUAACCCUCCCAAUUCUCAAAAUGACCAAACAUUACUAUCCCUCACCCUAAAUCACUCAGUCACUCACUUACACUUUUUUUAUUCAUUUUUCCUAAAUAUAAUUAGAUUUAAUCCUUAAACUUAUUCAAUUAUUCAUGUUCAUGGAAUCACAGUGAUCUCACUCGUGGAUGUGUGUGUUGGGUGCAUUUGUAGCAUUGUGGAGUUGUGGUCUUUGUGAAAUAGCGGUAAGACUUUUAUAUAAAAAAAAAGGUCUUUUACUCUUUUCAAAUUUUUAAUAUAAAUUAUUGAUGAGAUUUAACAUAGUGUAGGGGGUUUUAUUUGUAAGCAAUAGAGAGAUUAGCUUUAUUUUGUUUUUUAGCUUUUUUUUUGUAGUGUGCUGAAAAUGUUUUUUUUUUUUAAAAAAAAGGGAUUCCACAACACCAUUAGAGUCAUUUUGCAUUUGAUAAGGAAAAGUUAAUUUGUUUGGCUAAGUUUUAUCCAUAAGAAUUUUCUUGUGUGGAACUUAUGUGACUUGAAAGUCAACUUAAAAUUUUUGUUAGAGAUGCUCAGUCUGAUGAUCAGUUUUUAAAGUUAAAAAGGAUUGUUGAUCUUUCUCAAAUGUUGGUGAAAACUAAAAAACAUAUUGUGUAUCCAAUGGUAUACUUGUUCAUGAAGUUAGCUUUGAUUUUGACUGUGGCAACUGCAACAGUUGAAAGAUGUUUCUAUGCAAUGAAUUUCAUAAAAAAAUAUAAUAUAGAAUCGCAUGGGGGAUGAAUGGUUGAAUGAUUGUUUGGUUACAUACAUAGAGAGAAAUAUUUUUGAUAGUAUUGACAAUGAAAAAAUCAUAGAACAUUUUCAAAUUAUGAAAAUGCAUAAAAGACAAUUGUAAUUUGUAGAAACUUAAAUACUUUAGAUUUCUUUUAUCACAAUAUUAUAUAUUUUGUAAUAUCUUUUGAUAUUUUACUUUUGUGAAAAUAUUAUAAAUUAUUUCUUUCUCUCACUAAGAAAAAUUUAUGGAUUCGUUAAUGCUCGCAAUGGUUCAUCUCUUCAUAGACUCAAUGUCACUGCUACCAAUAAUGCCUCCAAAAUUUGUCAUAAUCAAUAAUCUCUCCUCUUUGCUCAGCCAACUUGUUGCCAGCCUAUCCAAUUUCGACCUUGCUCUAACUAUGUAUGAGAUCUUCAUUGUAGUGUGUCUCACUUCCUCCAACAAGCUUCUUAGAUCUGUCAGAUCCAAGCCCAGAUCUAAGUCUAGAGUUAAAAGUAGUAUUAGAGGAAGUUGCUCAACUUCCCCAACCUCCAACACUAAGUUUCCUUCGUCGGUGGAGACGUCAAGGAGUUCAUGUUGAUUCAUUCCUCUAUCGACAACAAGAUUCAGGCCAUUUGCAAAAGGUUGACCGAGUUGUGGAAACAAGGAAAAAUCUAGUUACGUGCAUGGAAAUUUGAACCCAAAACCAAAGAUUUGAGAAUAAUUUGUUUCUUUGAUUUGAUUUUGGUUGAUUUCUUGUCUUGGUGUGAAUAAUGCAUUUCUUUGAAUUUUUUUUUCCUAGAUUUGAUUUUGGAGAUAGGGAGUACAAUUUUAUGUUAGGAAAACAAUUUCUAGUAGCUAAAAUCAUUAAUGAGACAUAAGUUUCGGGACAAAGUCAAAAUUUAAUUCAAGAACUUAAAAUAAAAUUUAUCCUUCAAACUGGUGAUAAAAAAUAUGAUUUCCAAAAACAAUAGUGUGAUUGUUGAUAUUUCAAAUAAAAGAACAAUAAGCAGCAAAAUCAAUAUUCCCCCAAACUUGCAAGAAUCUGCGAUGAGUGCUAAUAAAAAUAGAGAAAAACCAAAACCACAAAAUAUGUGCUAGAGACACACAAAUUUUAAUGUGGAAACCCCCUCUAUGUAAGACCAAAGAAAUAACUUCACUAUGAUCAACAAAUGGUACAUGAAGGUCUCCAACAAGUAUGCACAACAUUCAUACAAUCAAACAAAUCAAGUAAAGCACCAAUGCUUACAAAUAAGGAACAAAAGGAUGAAAAGCCCCAUAUACAGAGAAGAAAAGUGCAAAGAACUAUCUCCCUCUCUAGACCUUGUUACAUCAAUCCAACCAAACAAAAUGAAGCAUCACAUAUGCUAAAUCUAUUAUCCAAACGAUUAAUGAAUCUGCACUUGCAAUCCGAAUAACAGUUGUCUGGUGGGUGUGAGAAAAUCUUUAUGUUUUGUCCUUUUCUCUACUUUCUCAUUGUUUGUUGCAAUCUCACUCAGUAAAAUGAGCCUCCCUUCUUACCUUAACGUGACCCCUCUCCAUUAGGUUAAGUGAGACAUAAUGGGCCAAUUUAUUUAGGUUUUUUUUCACAUAAGAAGGGAGCCAAAACCCAAUAAGAAAGAUUCAAGAUAUUUGUAAGUCCCACCAUAUUGGUGAAGUCCACAAACACCUUGAAUAUUUCUCUUUCCAUCUAAAAAAUUUCAAUACUAAAAAGGAGCUAGACCCUUGUUAACUACCUUGGUCUUAAGACUUGAAUGCAUAUUAGAAUGAUGAGUUUUGAUGGGAGAAAAGAAACUUAAAAAAUGCUUCCUAGUUCAAUUGCAUUCUAUUGAUUUUCUUUUGCUAAAUAUUGAGGUUGAUAAUAACUUUACACUUGAAGGAUAUUUGGCUUGCUGAAUGAUCAAAUACUCAUUCCUUCUUGUAACAGCUGAAAGAUAUUUCUUUGCAAUGAAUUUCAUGAAGAAUAUAAUACAGAAUCGCAUGGGAAAUGAAUGAUUGAAUGAUUGUUUGGUUACAUACAUAGAGAAAACUAAUUUUAAUAGUAUUGACAAUGAAAAAAUCAUGAAACUUUCUCAAAUUAUGAAAAUGUGUAGAAAAUAAUUGUAAUUUAUAGAAGACAAACUUUUUUUUGUAGUGCGCUAAAAAUGGUUCAUCUCUUCAUAGACUCAACUUCAAUGCUACCAACAACGCCUCCAAAAUUUGUCAUCAUCAACAAUCUCUCCUCUUUGCUCAGCCAACUUGAGAUGGAGUCAAAAUUUAAUUCAAAAACUUAAAAUAAAAUUUUAAAAAAGUUCAAAAACUAAAAACAUAAUUUACUCUAUUUAUUAAUAGACUUGAUUGCAAAUUAAGAAUAUAAAAUAUUUAUAAUUAGUAGGUUAUGUAAAUAAAAGAAAAGUCAAUAUUAAGAAAUUGUUCAAAAGUUAUAUCUACGAACCGUUGGAGUGGAAAGGUCAAUAUUAAUCAAUUGUUCAAAAGUUUGUCUUGCCACUCAAGAUUAUGUCCAAAUCAAUUUCACUUUUUACCAUAGAGAAAAGAAACCCCAAACGAUUCUAUAAAUUCUUCUGUUAACUAACAAAAAUUCAUUAUUGAUUGAAAAAGCUUUCUAAGACUUCUUCACACACAAUUUCACUUGAAUUACAUCAGAACCAACUAGUAUUACUAAAAAAAUCAACAUAUUAUCUGUAACAUGAAGGGGGGAACAGAAAUAAAAGCUAAUCAAUCAUAAAUUUGGCAAACAUGUACUACAUUAGAGACUGAGACUGAAAUCAAAAUAAUAAUCACUGAAGAAGGAUACAAGAAUUUUUGGAUCUCAUUUCUCACUAACACCUAUAACAAAUGAUUUUAUACAUAAACAAUUAAAAUCUCUCUCUCUCUCUCUCUCUCUCUCUCUCUCUCUCAAGUAUACAUAGAUCAACAUCAACGCGUAAUAAUCAUCACUCCGUAACGAAUUACAGUAUAAAUCAACAACAAUAAACGUCUAUGUGUAGAACGAAUCAAUAACGCUCACACGAAAUCCACAGCAAAAUAAAAAAUCGGCAUCGUGACAUUCAGUGCUUGAAGAUGGCGAGCAUUGACAGCACAACCGAAGCUCCAAUCACGGCCACCGAGCUCGAAACGGAUCCGGCUGCUCCGGCAUCGGGUCCCGGUGCCGGCGCCGGAGACAAAUCCUGAGCGGAGGCGGCGGCGGCGGCGAAGAAAAGCGCCACGAUGAUAACGGUGGCGAAGGACUUGAAGGUGAUUGCUUGAGAUGCCAUGCUGAGAGAGAGAGAGAGAAAGUGAAUAAUAAUUUAAGAUUUGAAGGUGUUAGAGAGAGAUUUUUCUUCUUUUCUGUGUGAGAGUAGAGGGAGAGAGUGAGGGUAUUUAUAGUGAUUAUGGGAAGGCGCGUGGGGCCCACGGAAACGUGGACACCUGGAAGGUGAGG